rnacentral:rRNA from 1 species
CUACGGGUUGCACCAGUGGGGAAUAUUGCGCAAUGGGCGCAAGCCUGAUGCAGCCAUGCCGCGUGUAUGAAGAAGGCCUUCGGGUUGUAAAGUACUUUCAGCGGGGAGGAAGGGAGUAAAGUUAAUACCUUUGCUCAUUGACGUUACCCGCAGAAGAAGCACCGGCUAACUCCGUGCCAGCAGCCGCGGUAAUACGGAGGGUGCAAGCGUUAAUCGGAAUUACUGGGCGUAAAGCGCACGCAGGCGGUUUGUUAAGUCAGAGGUGAAAUCCCCGGGCUCAACCCGGGAACUGCAUCUGAUACUGGCAAGCUUGAGUCUCGUAGAGGGGGGUAGAAUUCCAGGUGUAGCGGUGAAAUGCGUAGAGAUCUGGAGGAAUACCGGUGGCGAAGGCGGCCCCCUGGACGAAGACUGACGCUCAGGUGCGAAAGCGUGGGGAGCAAACAGGAUUAGAUACCCCCGUAGUC